rnacentral:tRNA from 1 species
UUGAGGCUGGGGUAAAGACUCCUUCAAGCGUUACCGCAGAGCGGCUUGCCUGAAGAUUUCGUUACCACAUAAUGUUGCGUGCGCAACGGGUAGGAGCUGUUGCCUUUGA